CCUACGGGGUGCAGCAGUGAGGAAUAUUGGUCAAUGGGCGCGAGCCUGAACCAGCCAAGUCGCGUGAGGGAAGACGGUCCUAUGGAUUGUAAACCUCUUUUGUCGGGGAGCAAAAGACGCCACGCGUGGCGUUCCGAGAGUACCCGAAGAACAAGCAUCGGCUAACUCCGUGCCAGCAGCCGCGGUAAUACGGAGGAUGCGAGCGUUAUCCGGAUUUAUUGGGUUUAAAGGGUGCGCAGGCGGAAGAUCAAGUCAGCGGUAAAAUUGAGAGGCUCAACCUCUUCGAGCCGUUGAAACUGGUGUUCUUGAGUGAGCGAGAAGUAUGCGGAAGGCGUGGUGUAGCGGUGAAAUGCAUAGAUAUCACGCAGAACUCCGAUUGCGAAGGCAGCAUACCGGCGCUCAACUGACGCUCAUGCACGAAAGUGUGGGUAUCGAACAGGAUUAGAUACCCUUGUAGUC
rnacentral:rRNA from 1 species